CAUCUUGUUAAACUAGUUUCAAUUAUAUAUGUUCAGCAUUUAAAGAGCUACUAAAAAAAAUAACUGCUCUGCACAAGGGAGUCUUAAGUGAAAUGUAAUUAUGAAAAUAUAUUGGAAAGUCAGAUGUGAAGCUGCAACUCAUUCCUGCCAUGGAGACACAGAAUAUGCUGGACACCACCAUCGCCAGAGAUGCCAUCAGUACUAGAGCUCUUCUGUUACGCUUAGUAUGGAAAUGAAGGAUUCAGCCUGCAUUAUUACUGUAUGGAAACUGAGCUGAUGCAUUCAGUGAAGAAACUGGAGCUUGAAAACUUCAGCAGACAAACAGCCUCUACAUCUCCCAAAUAAAGUCUCUCCAAACAAGAAUUCGACAGAGCAUUUUUCCAUAAUAAGCAUCUCUCAUGUUCCUGAGGUGCUCAGGAGCCCACAGGUCUUGUAAACUGUUCCUGGUUCCAGGAAAUAAGAUUUGACCUACCAGCCUUCACCCCUGUCAGUCACAGCAAGGCUUGGCACACGCCGUAUGCCACAGAGCGCAGUCUUUCAUUAUUAGCUGUCCAUGCAAACACUUAUGGACGGGGUCACUGGAGGAGCAGCUACUGGGGACAAGAGCUACUUGAGAUAAUUUUCCCUUGAGAAGAUUAGGAGUUGAUAACCCAAGCAACUGUGAGUAGAACUGACUUUGGAGCAGAGGCAGCCAUCUGUCAGUGACCUGAAGAUGCCCCUCAUUUAGCUAACCCUGUUGCCCUUCAUACAAUGAGAAGUGACCAAAAAUUUCAAUAGUAACAGCAUAUAGAAAUUUUAUGUUUGACACCAAAUACCAAUUGCCUGGUCAGUAAGACUAAAAAGAAACAUAAUAAACUAGAAAUAUAUUUGUUUAUUAACCCUGUGGUCAGAAAAUGGUUGCCCAUAUCAGAUGUGUGUCACUCUUGGAGGAUACUGAGGACCCAUGUGUAAAAUUCUGCAUCCUAAUAAUAGCAAUUCACAGCAAAGAUUUUAAUUUUUGUUUUUUAACCCAAGCAUUUACAGGGAAACAAAAUAAAGGUCAUAAUAAAUGAAAGUUUAAAAGUUAGAAGUUCAAAGAAGGCAAGGAAGAAAGGAAAAAAAUUAUGGGUAUAGCCAACAAUUACAGUACCAUGUGAAGAAUGUAGUUAAAUGCAAAGCUUACUGUGCUUUUAAAUAGCCCAAAAUAAACAGAUGUACAAGGCCAUUUCCAGUUUUGAUAAUUUCCUUAAACAUGUCUCUUUUACUGACUCACAGGAGUAAUUUGAGGACAACACUUUUGAGAGAUGAUCCUGUGGAAACACCUCCCUCAUGCUGUUGCUUGCCAUAUAUUUCAGAUAUAAAAGCAAAGCCACAUGACAAUUACACCUUCUUUGAGCAUUAGUUUACAUUAAAAUUCCCUUUCCUUGAGACUACUGCUCUUACAUUUUUAUGAUUUAGAUGUUUAAACUUGAUUAGAUCUAGCAAUGACUGCUUGCAACAACAAGCAAAUGCCAAGAAAAGGUAAAAAGUACUUACAGCUGUGAUGGGUAUCAUCAAACAACUCAAACAUCUAUAGAAUUUAAUGGCAUUAUUAAAAGCUGGUAUUUGUAGUGAUACACCAACAAGAAAGUACAUUGUGUUUCUAGCGCUGAUCUUAACUUUCCCUCUUUAGAAAAAUACAGCUUCCCUGUAAAACCUUUGUUUUUGGUUUCUAGUCCUUCACAAUCAACGGAGAGACCGGCUUUUCCAGAAGGUGUUCAGAAGGUAUCCACAUACCACAGUACUCCUACAGCCCUUUUUUUCUCUGCUAAUUGAAGAGGCAGCACACAAAAGUGCUUAUUUGAAUUCUUUCCCCAAACUCAUUUUCUGAACUUAACCAGUACCCUGUGACCCCUGCUGACAGAUGGGUUAUGUCAGGACAAGAACUCUGGUAUCUUGAGCUCCCAGAAGGCAGUGAUAAGUAUCUUUCCUGUCCACUGGAUUAGGCUAAGGACUCAAUGAGUUCAGACACAGCAGUGGUGAGCCUUCUUGGCAAGAUGGGGCUUCCUGAGCAAAGGCAGUGGGGAAAGGCCAGAACACAGGAAAAGAAAAGCACUAUGAUGGUUAGGAGAUGAUCCCCCAAAAAGAAGAAAAGGGGGGGGGGGGGGUGGAAACACAUGCCAUGCUUCCAGUUAGGGUGCAGGCUAGACCACAAUCUGAGCUCAGUGUCUACAAAUGACCUUCACAGAGGUCUAAGGUAUAUUUACAUGUUCAGUGCAGUCAAUAUUUAGGUUUUUUAAUCUACUGCCAAACCAGCUCCGGAACUGAAACAGUGCAGCAGCAUCUCCCAGGGGAGCUGCAGAGGGGACACUGUAAUUAGUCUGGACACAACCCCAUCCUGCAGCAGCAGUGCUCUCCAGGUGCCCCUGCACUGGGGCCACAUUAGGGCGUUGAACCACAUUGAUUUCUCUUGGAGGCUUCAGCCAGGAUGAUGCAGAGUGCUUGGCAAACAUCGGCAGCUUUCAGCUGGGUGAAGAAAUAUUGGAUGUUGACUUUUCAUUUACACAGUUCAGGAAAAAAAUGUCGUGGGAUAUUUAAAUAGGCUAAAUACUCGGGAGAUUUCAUCUGUGUCUGACUGUUGAUUGUGCAUGCUACAGAAACCUCAGCUUUGCCUCUGAUGACAAACAGCAUGCAAGGAAUGGGGAGGUUACAAGCCAGCUUCCCAUGAUUGCAAGAGAAGAAAAAAAAAAGGAAAAAUUAGAUGUUACUUUUCAAAAUAAUGUUUCCCUUUUAAUCAGAGAAUUACAGUUCUGUACAGUUAAGAUACAAACCCAAGGCAAACCUAACCAAUACCUCCUCAGCUCAGGGAAGUGAGAGGAAGACUAGAUUUAAAAUAAAGACACCCGAAAAUAUGAGUUUCUGUUCUAACUCCACUGUGUUCAUCUUUCUGCAGUAGCAGAACUUUUUAGGUUAAAAAAACAAAAAGGCAUAACAGGCUCCUGUGUCAAUGUCAAGGGUAGUCCAGUUUCACUGUUUGCACUAGCUCAGGUUUCUAGGUUGAAUUUUCUGUAGUUCAUUUCUGGUAUUUCUAAAAGAAUCUGAAAGAGGUUGCAUCAGCUUUUAAGGAGCUGUACCUGUUGCUCUGGAUCUAUGUAUGUUGCAAAAUUCUUUGAUGUUUAUUUUAACUACUCUCAAAAUUCAACUUGCCUUCUACAGCAGAUUUCUUUAUUCCAGAAGUAACAUUAAGUCUUUAAAUAGAUACUUUUACCAACUUCUGAACAGCAGCAUGUCUCAGGCUCCUCACUUGCUUACAUUGGUCUCCACGAACUGCUGGAACAGAGCACGGAUACCUCUGAGGGAGCACAAAUUCAGAGUGGUUGGUGAUGCCACCACACCAGUGCUAAGCAGUGUCUGAACUACCAGGUGAUGUCUGAACUACUACAUGAUGGGGUGCAGCGUUUCUGUGCUGCAACUGCCUUGAUUUUGGCUCCAAACACAGCUCUGUGCGAAGGCACUGUUUAUGAACAGAGGAGUUUGAGUUGGCACUGUUCAAGUCUCUCCUGUGCCAUCGCUCAGUGUCUGCUGCAGGCCCAUCCGCUGUGACUUAGAAGCCCAAAUUCCACAGACAUCUAAUGAGACUGUUUCUGACAUUACUAAAGGCUUCAUUUUGCUAUGACAAACACUCAUCUUCUGCCCAGAUCAGACAAGUUACAGGCACACAUGAGGAACCACAACAGCACAUUUCAGGGUACUUCUUCCGUGUCCCUUCUUCUCUUAGCUGCUAAUGUGGUUGGUCACCAACAGUCUUCAUGUCUCUGAAUAUAAUUAAAAUACAUAAUAAAACAGUAUAAUAACAAAAAUAUACAAUAAUACAAAAUAGUUCCAUUUUAAAAAGCUAGCAAUUAAAAAUAGAAGCUAGCCUUAUAAGAGAAUAGGCAGGGGUGGGACUGCAGGCAGGGAGAGACAGAUCUCCAGACCUCUGCAGCACGGGCAGCAGGGCUCCAGAGUUACACCUGGCAGCUGUGCAAUUUCCAGAGCAACAGAGGAUGCUCAUAAGUAGCUGACAAGAGGCUUAACCUCUGGGGCAUUGAUCAUGUUAAAUACUGUAAUGUGGGCUCCAUACACUUGUACUUCAGCACAAAACUCCUGCAGAAGCAUCUCUCUCCUUUUCUGUGCCUCUAUGCUCUGCUGUUCACUUGUUAAGAUUUUCACCAAACACAGGUAGUAAAUUUUCACCAUCAUUUAUAAUGCUCAUGCCUGGAGGGCUUUGCUAAGAGCAACUUGUUUUGUUCUUGUGUCUUCUCCUCUGUGCUAAUAACCUCAUAGUUAUAGCCCAAUUAAUAACCUCAUAGUUACAGCACAGCUGUAUCAGCUGAAAUACAGCUCCAGCAGAAGAGUGGUAUUAAUGGAUUCCCCCCAUUUCACACAAUGGGAAAAGAAUAUUUUAAAAAAUGAAUAUAAUGUCAGAAUAUAAUUUUUCACAUCAGCUCUACUUCUACUUUGCAGUAUCAGAAUGACCAAGUGCCUCCAGCUGAGAUGUCACUGAACCACAGAUAAAGACAAAAGCUGAGAACCCUCAGGUUUUUCUGGCCUCUGAAAAUGUCAGAUUCUGCACACUAAGCCUUGAACAUCUAACCUUGCUUCAUUCCUGAGGAGACAGCUUUAUGAUCUCAUUAAAAGAAUUGUUUUGUUUGGAAAGCUUGUUAGCCUUCCAGAUAGAGUCAGCUUAGCUGAAACCCUAUCUAUCAAAGUUUUAUUUGAUUUCAAAAAAGAUAGACCAAAUAAAAAGGCCAGGCAAACACCAGCCAAAUAAGAAGACUUACAUACUCAGGGUUCCCAGGCACUCUCUUUGUUUUCUUUGGAUUUAAAGUCAUGAUUAUUCAUUACUAUUUUUAGCACCAUCCAUAUGUUUCUCUGAAUAUUAAAGAAACUAGCAGCAUCACAUUUCCUACAAGGAAAGGAAAGUCAUACAAUACAGCACCUCAGCCUAUUUCCUAGUAUGGAAAGAGUGAGUCCAAGUGAGUGAAUAAUACCCCCUGUGAAGUUUGCAGGUACUGUGCCUUGACCAGACCUGUUCAGGUACAAGCUGGCAUAGAAUUGGCCCCAAGUAUCUUCAUUCCUGGGCCAUUGAUCAAAAGGCACAGUUUUGGGUCAGCAGCACCAGCUCCCCACCCACUGAUUUCUCAGGGAAGAGCUGCAGCUUCCUCCUUCAUAAAAAGAAAA